rnacentral:rRNA from 1 species
UACGUAGGGUGCAGGCGUUAAUCGGAAUUACUGGGCGUAAAGCGUGCGCAGGCGGUUUGCUAAGACAGGUGUGAAAUCCCCGGGCUUAACCUGGGAACUGCGCUUGUUACUGGCAGGCUUGAGUGUGGCAGAGGGGGGUGGAAUUCCACGUGUAGCAGUGAAAUGCGUAGAUAUCUGAAGGAACAUCAGUGGCGAAAGCGACUUCCUGGACCAAUACUGACGCUCAUGUGCGAAAGCGUGGGGAGCAAACAGG